rnacentral:rRNA from 1 species
AUACGUAGGGGGCGAGCGUUGUCCGGAAUGAUUGGGCGUAAAGGGCGCGUAGGCGGCCCGGUAAGUCUGGAGUGAAAGUCCUGUUUUUAAGAUGGGAAUUGCUUUGGAUACUGUCGGGCUUGAGUGCAGGAGAGGUAAGUGGAAUUCCCAGUGUAGCGGUGAAAUGCGUAGAGAUUGGGAGGAACACCAGUGGCGAAGGCGACUUACUGGACUGUAACUGACGCUGAGGCGCGAAAGUGUGGGGAGCAAACAGGAUUAGAUACCCUGGUAGUCCACACUGUAAACGAUGAAUACUAGGUGUAGGGGGUAUCGACUCCCUCUGUGCCGCAGUUAACACAAUAAGUAUUCCACCUGGGGAGUACGUUCGCAAGAAUGAAACUUAAAGGAAUUGACGGGG